rnacentral:lncRNA from 1 species
AGGGUGACAUGCAAAAGGAACAUCUAAAUGCUCUUCCUGUGAUCUUUGGGGAAAGCACCCGAGUAGAAAGAGUGUCCACGGUACAUUAUCCAUGUAAAAAGUUGUGUCUGGCUACUCCCUUGAACCAGCAGAGACAGAUAUCAGGACAACAUGGCCUUAAUAUGGAGCAUAGGAUUUUUUCCGGUAUAGAUAUCAUUUUAGAACAUCUUUCG